rnacentral:rRNA from 1 species
UACGUAGGGGGCGAGCGUUACCCGGAUUUACUGGGCGUAAAGCGCGUGUAGGCGGCUGGCCAAGCGUGGUGUGAAAUCUUCGGGCUUAACCCGAAAACUGCAUUGCGAACUGGUCUGGCUAGAGUGUGUGAGAGGGUAGUGGAAUUCCCGGUGUAGCGGUGAAAUGCGUAGAUAUCUGGAGGAACACCGGUGGCGAAGGCGACAUCCUGGACCGGUAUUGACGCUGAGGCGCGAAAGCGUGGGGAGCGAACAGG